rnacentral:rRNA from 1 species
GACGAACGCUGGCGGCGUGCUUAACACAUGCAAGUCGAACGGUAAGGCCCUUCGGGGUACACGAGUGGCGAACGGGUGAGUAACACGUGGGUGAUCUGCCCUGCACUUCGGGAUAAGCCUGGGAAACUGGGUCUAAUACCGGAUAGGACUCCGGACUGCAUGGUCUGGGGUGGAAAGCUUUUGCGGUGCGGGAUGGGCCCGCGGCCUAUCAGCUUGUUGGUGGGGUGAUGGCCUACCAAGGCGACGACGGGUAGCCGGCCUGAGAGGGUGACCGGCCACACGGGGGCUGAGAUACGGCCCAGACUCCUACGGGAGGCGGCGGUGGGGAGUAUGGCACAAUGGGCGCAAGCCUGAUGCAGCGACGCCGCGUGAGGGAUGACGGCCUUCGGGUUGUAAACCUCUUUCAGCAUCGACGAAGCGAAAGUGACGGGAGGUGCAGAAGAAGGACCGGCCAACUACGUGCCAGCCGCCGCCGUAA